UACGUAGGGUGCAAGCGUUAAUCGGAAUUACUGGGCGUAAAGCGUGCGCAGGCGGUUGUGCAAGACCGAUGUGAAAUCCCCGGGCUUAACCUGGGAAUGGCAUCGGUGACUGCACGGCUAGAGUGUGUCAGAGGGGGGUAGAAUUCCACGUGUAGCAGUGAAAUGCGUAGAGAUGUGGAGGAAUACCGAUGGCGAAGGCAGCCCCCUGGGAUAACACUGACGCUCAUGCACGAAAGCGUGGGGAGCAAACAGG
rnacentral:rRNA from 1 species